AUAAAAUGUAGAAAAAAAAUACACCCAAACUCCCAAACUUUUGUAAAUAUCAGACUGAUGUGAUUUGGUACUCUGAACAUAAGCAUGUUUUCAAGAGAAGCAAACAAUAAUAAAAUAUGAUGAGGUCUUAAAAGUGAAACAUGUGCACGCAGAAACGUGACAAGAUAAAGCCCAUAAACUGUCUUUAAUAAGAAGCACUGAUUAGAUCUCACAGCACUGAGAGAAACGCAGGUGAAGACUCAAUACCAACAAGAUUAAAACUGAAAGUAAAGUAAUUCUUUGGAGAUUUUUGACAAGAUGAGAAAAUUCCUCUUGCUGGUUCUCACCAUAACAGCUUCUGUAGCUUUUGCCAAUCCACCAGUUCAGGAUGAGAAGCCUCCUGAUCCAGUGGUGAAGGUGCCAGUGGCUGAAAACGAACCGAAGGUAGAGCACACAGAAGCACAAGCAGGUGCUCUGGUGCAGGAGGAGGAAGCUGUUGCAAAUUCAAGUCUGGUGGAGCCUGAUUCAGUGCUGCUGGAGCCAGAAACAACAGAGGAACAAAGAGUACCAGAAGAGACACAAGUGAUGUUGGAGAAAGCUGUGCUAGAGGCAGAUUACCUGACUGAAGAGAUGCCAGAGACAGAACUAGAGCUUGAGCCGGAAAUUACUGCCAUUCAGACAGACAGAAACAUCGUACCAGUGGAGGAAGCUGUAGAAGAGUUAGAGUCUGAAACUAAUACAGAAGUGGAAGAUGAAAAAGAAGAAAAUGUAGUAGAGGAGGAGCCUACACUUGAGGCUGACUAUAUAACGGCUGAAGAUCCAGAAAUACAAAUGGACCCUGAGAGGGAAAGACGAAGGACACAGAUUGGGUGGUGGACUUGUGGAGGAGUUGUCCUACAGGGCAAAUGUUACCAGUUCUUCAGAAAAAACCUCAAUGCCUAUCAAGCUGAGUUCCACUGUCAGUCCAUCUGCAAUAAUGGCCACCUGGCCUCUGUGACAAGCAGCUACAUUCUUGGUGAAAUAGGGAGGCUAAUGGAUCGGAAUGGCGGCCGCACCCGCACAUGGCUUGGAGGAUGGAGAAUCUUUAAUACACGUAAUUUCAUAUGGUUGGAUGGAACGCCAUGGAGCUAUAAUGGCUGGGCUAAAGGAGAGCCCAAUAAUGCUGGUGGGCAGGAGAACUGUGUAGAGACGUGGUAUAAUCUGGCGUUCAAUGAUGUACCAUGCACAAUACCCAGUCCGUUCAUCUGUUCCUGUCCACUUUAG
ensembl:lncRNA